CUACUUGUAAAAAUAAAUCGGAAAAUAAAAUAAAAAAAGGGGGUAACCGUUUUCGUUUUUGAGAUACGAGCUGUUGAAAUUAACAGCAUCAUACACCAAAAUUACAAAGGAUAUAUAGGGAAAAUCGUGAAAUUCGGCAGGAAUUGUUACAUUUCCAAGAUUUUCUAUUAUAUUAGACAAUCGAUUUUUUUUUAAAUUUAUGAGACGAUUCUAAAAUGUCUG
rnacentral:lncRNA from 1 species